rnacentral:rRNA from 1 species
AUAUUACUAAGCGGAGGAAAAGAAAUCAACGAAGAUUGCCUCAGUAGCGGCGAGUGAAGCGGCAAUAGCUCAAGUUUAGAAUCUAUGGCCGUCUCGGUCAGAGAAUUGUAAUCUAAAGGGGUAAACAAAAGGUGAGGAUGAGGUAUAAGUUCCUUGGAACAGGACAUCAUAGAGGGUGAAAAUCCCGUAUGUAACCUCAGCCGAGCUGAAUGUCUGCCUUCUAAGAGUCGGGUUGUUCGGGAUUGCAGCCCUAAAUGGGAGAUAAACUUCUUCUAAGGCUAAAUAUCUAUGGGAGACCGAUAGCGCACAAGUA